GACAAACGCUGGCGGCAUGCCUAACACAUGCAAGUCGAACGGACAGAACAGGGAAGCUUUUCGGAGUGGAACUGGAAAGUUAGUGGCGGAUGGGUGAGUAACGCGUGGACAACCUACUUUGUAAAGGGGAAUAACCUCGAGAAAUCGAAGCUAAUACCCCAUAAAAACCUUGCUUCGCAUGAAGUAAGGAGGAAAGGCGGCGGUAGCGCUGUCGAUACAAGAUGGGUCCGCGGCUGAUUAGCUAGGUGGGGAGGUAAAGGCUCACCAAGGCAACGAUCAGGAGCCGGCCUGAGAGGGUGAACAGCCACAUUGGGACUGAGCAACGGACCAAACUCCUACGGGAGGCAGCAGUGGGGAAUCUUCCGCAAUGGGCGAAAGCCUGACGUAGCAAUGCCGCGUGAGUGAAGAAGGCCUUCGGGUUGUAAAACUCUGUCCUUAUCGAAGAGAGAGUGUUGUAGUAAAUGACAAUACUAGGACGGUAGAUGAGGAGGAAGCCCCGGCUAACUAUGUG
rnacentral:rRNA from 1 species